rnacentral:rRNA from 1 species
GGGCCCGCACAAGCGGCGGAGCAUGCGGAUUAAUUCGAUGCAACGCGAAGAACCUUACCAAGGCUUGACAUAUAGAGGAAAAGUGCAGAAAUGCACUCCCCGCAAGGUCUCUAUACAGGUGGUGCAUGGUUGUCGUCAGCUCGUGUCGUGAGAUGUUGGGUUAAGUCCCGCAACGAGCGCAACCCUCGUCCUAUGUUGCCAGCACGUAAUGGUGGGAACUCAUGGGAUACUGCCGGGGUCAACUCGGAGGAAGGUGGGGAUGACGUCAAAUCAUCAUGCCCCUUAUGUCUUGGGCUUCACGCAUGCUACAAUGGCCGGUACAGAGGGCUGCAAUACCGCAAGGUGGAGCGAAUCCCAAAAAGCCGGUCUCAGUUCGGAUUGCAGGCUGCAACUCGCCUGCAUG